AGUCAGUUUCAUUUCGAGUGUGGCCUCUUGUGGGCUAUUUCUCCGCUGCUUUUCAAAACUAAGCUGGUGAUUGCAGAAAGGAUUGUCCUGCAUGCCUUCAUUCCAGAGGAAUUUAUUCCAGAAUAAAGCCACCCCACCAGGCAUUAGCAAGACAAGGCUUCCUGCUCAGUCCCCUUCUAGCCUGUCGGGCCUGUGCUGGAGCAGCCUGCUUUUAAAGGAAGUGGGAGACCCAGCCAGGGAUUGACUUCUGCAAGGAACUGCCAGCAAAUGGAACAGCAGCUCAGCCAGCAUGGCCCAGUGAAAGCAGCUCAGAGCGAUGAGAGCUGCACCUCCCCUAUGGUCCUGAACCACACCCAUCACCUUCAUCCAGGUACCCCUGAGGGGAUGUGGGGAUGUUUCAACUCCCUCUACAGCUGCUGAAGGUCGUGUUCUCAGAAAUGUCCUGGACGUGGCUGAUGGAUGUGAUGGGCAGCGUGAUCCUGAUGCAGAACCCAAACCUUUGUCCUCCAGAUUGUACCCAAGAAUUCACAUCUGACAGAUCAAAGCAGAUGAACUCCUGAAGAGCCAGUGACUUAGCUCAGCCAUCAUUGCAGUGCUGAGCUUCCUACAAAAACUUCUGAAAUGUUGUCCAGCCUCCAAACAGAAUAAAAAUAUUCAAUAAAGCAUCUGAAAACUGCCA